GACGAACGCUGGCGGCGUGCUUAACACAUGCAAGUCGAACGGGAUUUAGUAGACAGAAGCCUCGGCUAAAGAUUACUAAUGAGAGUGGCGAACGGGUGAGUAACGCGUGAGCAACCUGCCUAUGACAGUGGGAUAGCCUCGGGAAACCGGGAUUAAUACCGCAUAAAAUCGUAGAAACACAUGUUUUAACGGUCAAAGAUUUAUCGGUCAUAGAUGGGCUCGCGUCUGAUUAGCUAGUUGGUGAGAUAACAGCCCACCAAGGCGACGAUCAGUAGCCGGUCUGAGAGGAUGAACGGCCACAUUGGAACUGAGACACGGUCCAAACUCCUACGGGAGGCAGCAGUGGGGAAUAUUGCACAAUGGGGGAAACCCUGAUGCAGCGACGCCGCGUGAACGAAGAAGGUAUUCGUAUCGUAAAGUUCUGUCCUAUGGGAAGAUAAUGACAGUACCAUAGAAGAAAGCUCCGGCUAAAUACGCG
rnacentral:rRNA from 1 species